rnacentral:sRNA from 1 species
AGAGAAGGAGAAGCGCGUUCGUGCGUCCUAUUCCCAGUACAGCGUGGAGGGGUUAGGCAGCGUGUCUGAUUCUCUGCGGAACGGCGAGCACAUUUGUGCUUUGCCCGCCGCGGCCCAGGAGGCCUUUUGGGGCCGCGUAGUCGGUGUUUUUGAACUGACUCCACAGCUCGUGGCGGGCCGUGCGGCGCCCUGACCCGGCCUGACCAUGUUGGUGCUGUUUGAAACGUCUGUGGGCUACGCCAUCUUUAAGGUUCUAAAUGAGAAGAAACUUCAAGAGGUUGAUAGUUUAUGGAAAGAAUUUGAAACUCCAGAGAAAGCAAACAAAAUAGUAAAGCUAAAACAUUUUGAGAAAUUUCAGGAUACAGCAGAAGCAUUAGCAGCAUUCACAGCUCUGAUGGAGGGCAAAAUCAAUAAGCAGCUGAAAAAAGUUCUGAAGAAAAUAGUAAAAGAAGCCCAUGAACCGCUGGCAGUAGCUGAUGCUAAACUAGGAGGGGUCAUAAAGGAAAAGCUGAAUCUCAGUUGUAUCCAUAGUCCUGUUGUUAAUGAACUUAUGAGAGGAAUUCGUUCACAAAUGGAUGGAUUAAUCCCUGGGGUAGAACCACGUGAAAUGGCAGCUAUGUGUCUUGGAUUGGCUCACAGGUGAGAAUUACUGGAAAAUAAAGUCAACUUACUUUUAUUUGAUAGGCACUUAACAUAGCUCUGUUCUAGGAAUGUUACAAAUGCUCAUUUGAACCACAUCAGAACCUUAUAAAGAAGAUGAUAGUAAUAUCCUCAUUUACAGAUGAAACUGAAGCCCAAGGUCAAUACAGCUAGUAAGUGGUAAAGCCAGGAUUUGAACCCAGGCAGUCUGGCUCCAUUGUCUGGAUUCUU